GUCUGUUAGGGCCAUAUCAUUAGCAUAAUUAAUGUUGCAUAUAUUGGCUUAAUUGGCAUCAGACAUAGAGCAGCAUUGUGCAUCUGCAAUAUGCAAAGUGCAGAUGGUGCUUCUCAUACUGAUUGCUUUGGGGAACAUCACUAGGAAAUUGUUUGUAAUGACUUAAAAUGUGACCAGACCUUGUGGCUGUUUUGUUUCUUCACUGGGAAACAGCUCCACACACACACACACACACACACCCCGCAAAAAAAAAGUGCAUUAACAAAGGGUUGGAUCCAGAGUAACCUGUUAGUUAACUGAAGUUCCAUUGAUUGCAUUGGAAACAAAGUUCAACUAGCUUUACUUUGAAACUAAUGCCCUUUUGUUCCUCCAGCCUGUUACAUGUUACUUUGGUGGGAAUCAGUGUUGCCCUUUUGCUCCCCAUCUCACUUGCCAAUGGUGCAGUUAAAAACACAUUUUGAAGCCAGUACUUACAAUGAGAGAUCCUUUGUACAUUUAUAAAUAGUUUUUAAGCAGUCCUGCCUUUCUUCAGGGCCACUCAAAUGGGCUACUUGUGCUUGGAGUAACAAAGUUCAGUGCAACUGGAAGACAGUACGGACCAGCAUUUGAUAUGACCCCCUCUCUAUUCAGAAGCAAGCCCUAUUGAAUCCAUUGGUGCUUACUCCCAUGUAAUAGGUGUUAGGAAUGCAGCUUUGCUUAGUCACACUUUUCUUUUGUUGAAAUCAUUGGGACUAAAUCAUAGUUUAGGGUGUAUUCAACUAAGUCGCACUCAAGCAUAUAGGCACAGAUUUCAAGUGAUCUAAUUCGAGUGUGAUUUAGUUGGAUACAACUGUAUAUCUGGAAUCAACUUGUGAUACUCAGAAACCAAUGACUGAACUUCAAAGCAAGGGACAUUCGUAGUUUAUUUUUUUCUUCAGUGGGUGAAAGUGUGGCAGAAAGUGAUGAAGGAUAAAUACAGAUUUUUAGCAGUCCAAAAUGAGAUUAGCUAAAUCAGCUUGUAUUGCACAAGAUGUAUCUAUUACAAACUUGUUUCCUGAGCUAAGAAAAUGAUGUGGUGCAUGCAUGUUCAUAUUGCAGCCAAUUCACCUGGAAAUAAUCAAAAGAUGCUUUGGGUACUCCCUUUGUGGUUUGCUCAAUUUGCAUCUUGUACUCUUGGCACCACUACAUAUUCCAAAAGGUUUGGAUCUUCACAUUAUGAGGAAGCAUAAAUUUAAUUCAAGACUCCAAAAAGGGUGGCAUGGAAUUUCACUGGCAUUAAAAUAUAUAGUUUCACUUUGGAAAUGUCUCAACUCCCUCAACUGUUCCUCAUAUGGCUUGGUUUCCAGCCCCUUGAUCAUACUGGUUGCCCUCCUCUGCAAGAUGACGAGGAACCAUCAGUGAGAAUUAGUGAAAUGAGAUUCAUCUAACAUGAAACCCAUGCUGGGUCUAAGUAUUCACAGCAUUCUUUUCUAAGUGCUCACAGACCGACUACAGGCAACAACUGAUUAAUGCAUGUCUGAAAGACAUGGGAUUGAGCACGCACACAUGGCACUAAACUCGGAAGUGACCUGAAAACUCACUCAACAUAAAAAAAAGGGUGGAAUGAGGGCGGGGGGUGGAACAGGGCAGGAUGGGUGGGGCAACCUUAUAUGUGCACGGGGGGGUCUAGAAAUGGAACCCCCACACAGAAUGGUUGUCAACUGUAUUUCAUUAUGUGUUCUAUGACCUUUCCUAGUAUUGACAUAAAGCUCACCAGUUGGUAGUUAACCUGGGUCUUCUCCCCACCCCCUCCCUUUUGAAGAUGGGCAAAACUGCCUUGGUGGUCCCUUUGUGAUCACAGGAAAGUUUUAAAUAGAAGCGGCCAUUUGUAUCCUUCAUGAAUCAUGCAUUCAUCUCUCUCUUUCUGUAUGUGUGUUACAUUAUUAAUCUCUUUUCUGAGUAAUUCAAGUGCUGCCACUAAAUGCAAAACUAAAGUCAGCUUUUAAAAUACUAUGGUCUUUUUCUCUUCUCUCUUUCCCUGAUAUAAGCAGAAAUAAAACUACUAGUUCAUGUGCAUAUAAAGAAUUAUUUCCUAAGAUCCAAACAAAUUAAUAAUAAUAAUAUUUAGCAUGAUGAAAUAAAGCUAGCAGCAUGACUUCACUGCUGUUAGGUAAAAAAUAUUUUCUAGAAUUGCUGCCGACAUAGCAAGUAUUUUAUCUUCAGAUUAAUGAUCAAAGUGUUUUUUUUACUUGGCAUAUAGUAUCGCUCAGGGGUAGCUGUUCUGGAAGGCACAAUGCUUACCUGCAUUUACACAGCCAAUAGGAAGGAUGUUAAUAAGAGAAAAAAUAAAACUCUGGAAGGAUCUUAUCUGGAGUGUUUCUGUAUGACCAGUCACCACAUUAUCAGCAAUGGUCAUCACUAUUGGGAUAUGAGGAAAGUGAGGGGCUUCCUGUGUUUUUGGACUAUAAUGCCCAUCAUCCCUGGCCACUGGUCGUGCUGGCUGAGGCUGAUGGGAUUGUAAUCGAACAACAUCUGAGGGCCCACAGUCACUCCUUCAUAAUGCCCUCUCCAAAUCUGGUCUGGAAUCCCAGAACAGAUUUUGGGGGAUGCACAAGGGGAGGAGAGUCUUGUUGCAGAAAUCUGAUCAGCUGGUUACUUAGCACUACACUGGAUGCAAGCCAUUUUACUGUUCCAGGUGAACAGUUGCCCUUUCCAACUGAAACCCUCUCAGGGCUGAUUUCACUCAUUUAUGUUCUUCAGCUGAUUUCUAACAUUUCGAUGGCUCACAGGUGAAUAGCUUCCGCUUGAAAGCAUCGCGUCUGGGUUGAUAUGAAAUGUUGGACUAUGAAAUUUGAUCUGCAGCACCUGACGUUCCAGUAACCACAUGAUGAAUAUCAAUGGAUGAACUGAACUUCCUUCAUAUCCUUUCCACAUAAUCAGGGUGACGCAACCACAUUUUAUCCUGGCAUGAUAAAAUGAGUUGCCCUGGGACAGCAGAAAUGAGAAGAGGCACACUCUCGCCCUUACUGCCUGUCCAAGGGACAACGGACAAUAGGAGGUUUAGCCUCUAGGAAGAACACUACGGCAAGGGGAAGAUCAUUGAGAUAGAGAAGGAGUAGCUGCAGGGAGUGUGCUUUGCCUUCCAGAAAGAACUUUGCCCAAAUUGGCCAUUGCCCUAGGAGUAUAAAAGCAAAAGGAGCAAUGCCCUGGCAACUGCUAGCAACCAGAUGAACAAGACCUUUGAGCAGUUCUUUGCAUUGCUUUGAUGUAUUGAAAACUGCUUUGGAGAUCAUUUGGUCAAAAGGCAUGGUGUGAAUUGGGUCAGGGUGAGGUGGUCUACCAGAUGUAGCUUGGUUCUAGCUACUGUCUUUUCUGCCCGUUGCCCAUGGCUGCUGGGGCUGGUGAGAGUUGAGAGUCCAAUAACUAUUAGUGCAGGGCAUAUGUUCCCCACUUACUAAUAUAAUGCAUUUUUGCAUGUUAUAUAUCUUCAUUCUUAUGCACAUCCCCCCCAUAUGAUUUUUGUGUGAACAUUGGCUGAAUAACUACGUCACAAAAUUCAGAUAAGUGUGAUUUUUUUUCAAGGGAUUGUUGUGCUUCAGAACACGAACACACACACACACACACACACAUACAGAGAGAGAGAGGAAAGUGUGAAUUUGAUAGAUUUGGCUUUAAAUGUGUCCUGAAUUGAAUUUCUCCUCCAGCCCUAGCUGUGAUUAAUAUAACCUGUAGGUACAAUAACACUGAUUUACAUUGACAUGUAGUGCAAAACACACUGAAGUGCUGUAAUGUGAAAAUCAUGAUUGUAGUAGUAAAUUAUUUACAUGAAAAUAAAUAUAAUAAAGCACUUAAAACCAAGCCCAGUACAAGUAAUUUGGUGUGGAUAUAUAGCUUAGUGGUGAUAAGGCCUUUUGCAUGCGAAACCCUUGAGUUCCAUCCCUGGCAUCUCCAGGUUGGGCAGAGGAAAGACCCUGGAGAGUUACUUCCCGUCAGUGUAGAAAAUGCUAUGCUCCUGUGAUUGAAUUUUCGAUUCAGUCACUCAUGCAAAUGUUCAAAUCUUCAGCCACAAACUUAAGAGCAGUUGUACAUCAGAUUAACAAAAUGCAGCACACAAUUAUGUGAGAUCCCACGAGGUGCCCUAAGACUAAGUCUCUCCUUCAAAGAAAACUGAAUAUUGCAUUUUGCCCUGUUCUCUGGUUCACAAUCGCAAGACAAGGAAAAAACAAAAGAGGGAAAAGGCUAUGAAUAUAGUUCAAUUGUAUGCUUCCUUUAAAGAGUAUGGAGAAAGCCAUAAAUCAUGUUACUAAAAAAUGGCACUUUUUUCUUUUUCUCUCACUGUAU